rnacentral:rRNA from 1 species
GGUUAAGCGACUAAGCGUACACGGUGGAUGCCCUGGCAGUCAGAGGCGAUGAAGGACGUGCUAAUCUGCGAAAAGCGCCGGCGAGGUGAUAUGAACCUUUGACCCGGCGAUGUCCGAAUGGGGAAACCCAGUGNNNNNNNNNNUGUGUGUUAGUGGAACGGUCUGGAAAGUCCGACGGUACAGGGUGAUAGUCCCGUACACGAAAAUGCACAUGCUGUGAACUCGAAGAGUAGGGCGGGACACGUGGUAUCCUGUCUGAAUAUGGGGGGACCAUCCUCCAAGGCUAAAUACUCCUGACUGACCGAUAGUGAACCAGUACCGUGAGGGAAAGGCGAAAAGAACCCCGGCGAGGGGAGUGAAAAAGAACCUGAAACCGUGUACGUACAAGCAGUGGGAGCCUCUUUAUGGGGUGACUGCGUACCUUUUGUAUAAUGGGUCAGCGACUUAUAUUCUGUAGCAAGGUUAACCGUAUAGGGGAGCCGAAGGGAAACCGAGUCUUAACUGGGCGUUAAGUUGCAGGGUAUAGACCCGAAACCCGGUGAUCUAGCCAUGGGCAGGUUGAAGGUUGGGUAACACUAACUGGAGGACCGAACCGACUAAUGUUGAAAAAUUAGCGGAUGACCUGUGGCUGGGGGUGAAAGGCCAAUCAAACCGGGAGAUAGCUGGUUCUCCCCGAAAGCUAUUUAGGUAGCGCCUCGUGAACUCAUCUUCGGGGGUAGAGCACUGUUUCGGCUAGGGGGCCAUCCCGGCUUACCAACCCGAUGCAAACUACGAAUACCGAAGAAUGUUAUCACGGGAGACACACGGCGGGUGCUAACGUCCGUCGUGAAGAGGGAAACAACCCAGACCGCCAGCUAAGGUCCCAAAGUCAUGGUUAAGUGGGAAACGAUGUGGGAAGGCACAGACAGCCAGGAUGUUGGCUUAGAAGCAGCCAUCAUUUAAAGAAAGCGUAAUAGCUCACUGGUCGAGUCGGCCUGCGCGGAAGAUGUAACGGGGCUAAACCAUGCACCGAAGCUGCGGCAGCGACACUAUGUGUUGUUGGGUAGGGGAGCGUUCUGUAAGCCGUUGAAGGUGUGCUGUGAGGCAUGCUGGAGGUAUCAGAAGUGCGAAUGCUGACAUAAGUAACGAUAAAGCGGGUGAAAAGCCCGCUCGCCGGAAGACCAAGGGUUCCUGUCCAACGUUAAUCGGGGCAGGGUGAGUCGACCCCUAAGGCGAGGCCGAAAGGCGUAGUCGAUGGGAAACAGGUUAAUAUUCCUGUACUUGGUGUUACUGCGAAGGGGGGACGGAGAAGGCUAUGUCAGCCGGGCGACGGUUGUCCCGGUUUAAGCAUGUAGGCGGAGGUUCCAGGUAAAUCCGGUACCUUGUUAACGCUGAGGUGUGAUGACGAGGCACUACGGUGCUGAAGUGAUAAAUGCCCUGCUUCCAGGAAAAGCCUCUAAGCAUCAGGUAACACGAAAUCGUACCCCAAACCGACACAGGUGGUCAGGUAGAGAAUACCAAGGCGCUUGAGAGAACUCGGGUGAAGGAACUAGGCAAAAUGGUGCCGUAACUUCGGGAGAAGGCACGCUGAUAUGUAGGUGAAGCCCCUGCGGGCGGAGCUGAAAUCAGUCGAAGAUACCAGCUGGCUGCAACUGUUUAUUAAAAACACAGCACUGUGCAAACACGAAAGUGGACGUAUACGGUGUGACGCCUGCCCGGUGCCGGAAGGUUAAUUGAUGGGGUUAGCGGCAACGCGAAGCUCUUGAUCGAAGCCCCGGUAAACGGCGGCCGUAACUAUAACGGUCCUAAGGUAGCGAAAUUCCUUGUCGGGUAAGUUCCGACCUGCACGAAUGGCGUAAUGAUGGCCAGGCUGUCUCCACCCGAGACUCAGUGAAAUUGAACUCGCUGUGAAGAUGCAGUGUACCCGCGGCAAGACGGAAAGACCCCGUGAACCUUUACUAUAGCUUGACACUGAACACUGGUCCUUGAUGUGUAGGAUAGGUGGGAGGCUUUGAAGCGUGGACGCCAGUCUGCGUGGAGCCGCCCUUGAAAUACCACCCUUUAAUGGCUGGUGUUCUAACGUAGACCCGUAAUCCGGGUUGCGGACAGUGUCUGGUGGGUAGUUUGACUGGGGCGGUCUCCUCCCAAAGAGUAACGGAGGAGCACGAAGGUUGGCUAAUCCUGGUCGGACAUCAGGAGGUUAGUGCAAUGGCAUAAGCCAGCUUGACUGCGAGCGUGACGGCGCGAGCAGGUGCGAAAGCAGGUCAUAGUGAUCCGGUGGUUCUGAAUGGAAGGGCCAUCGCUCAACGGAUAAAAGGUACUCCGGGGAUAACAGGCUGAUACCGCCCAAGAGUUCAUAUCGACGGCGGUGUUUGGCACCUCGAUGUCGGCUCAUCACAUCCUGGGGCUGAAGUAGGUCCCAAGGGUAUGGCUGUUCGCCAUUUAAAGUGGUACGCGAGCUGGGUUUAGAACGUCGUGAGACAGUUCGGUCCCUAUCUGCCGUGGGCGCUGGAGAAUUGAGGGGGGCUGCUCCUAGUACGAGAGGACCGGAGUGGACGCAUCACUGGUGUUCGGGUUGUCAUGCCAAUGGCACUGCCCGGUAGCUAAAUGCGGAAGAGAUAAGUGCUGAAAGCAUCUAAGCACGAAACUUGCCCCGAGAUGAGUUCUCCCUGAGACUUUAAGUCUCCUGAAGGAACGUUAAAGACGAUGACGUUGAUAGGUCGGGUGUGUAAGCGCAGCGAUGCGUUGAGCUAACCGAUACUAAUGAACCGUGAGGCUUAACCUU